AAGACCGGGUGCAAACCCGGAACUGGGGCGCGGCCUGGGCACCCCGGCGUCACUCGCCCCCGAAACGGUGUCCUUUUCGGAAGCUUUCUUCCCAGGAGAUCAGCGGACAAAGAGCAGGAAAAGCAGAAAACAAGUCCCUAAGAAAGGAUCAAGACUGGGCAGAGAACAAUGGAAGACCUUCAUGACUGCUGACCAAAUGUGUGCCAAAUGGCAAUGAGUGACACAGACACAGUCAAGAGGAUGACCUCUGCAGGCCUAGAAGGGCAGCUGUGGCUUCUGGGCAGGGGCAGCCUGAAAUGGACCUUGGAGAAUGGCUGGGCUUUAGCUUCAUGCCAAGGAGGAGGAAAAGGGGUGCUUCUGCCAGUGGUGUGAGCCUACCCAUGGUUGUUUCUUUUCAGUCAGCUCUGUGGGUACUCUUGGGCAAGUCCCUUUUCAUUUCUACGACUACAGUAGACAGAAUAGUGCCCCCUUGAGAUGUCCACCUCCCAAUCCCCACAACCUCUAAAUAUAUUACCUGACAUGGCAAAAGGGACUUAGAUCUUGCAGAGCCUAUGCUCCUGUAGGGAGAUUAUCCUGGAUGGUCCAGGUGGGCCCAGUGUAAUGACAUGAGUCCUCAUAAGGGAAAGAGGGAAGCAGGAGAGAGUCAGAGUCAGAGAAGGAGGUGUGACAGCAGAAGCAGAGGUCAGAGAGAGAGGUGUGAAGAUACUGCGCUACUGGCCUUGAAUACAAAGGGGCCAUGAGCCAAGAAAUGCAGGUGGCCUCUGGAAGCUAAAAAAGGCAAAGAAUUGGAUUCUCCCCUAGAGCCUCCAGAAGGAAUGCAGCCCUGCUGGUACUUCAAGUUUAGGACUUCUUACCUCCAGAACUAUAAUAAUAAAUCUGUUGUUUUAAG
rnacentral:lncRNA from 1 species